AGUGAACGCUGGCGGUAGGCCUAACACAUGCAAGUCGAACGGCAGCACAGUAAGAGCUUGCUCUUACGGGUGGCGAGUGGCGGACGGGUGAGGAAUACAUCGGAAUCUACUUUUUCGUGGGGGAUAACGUAGGGAAACUUACGCUAAUACCGCAUACGACCUACGGGUGAAAGCAGGGGAUCUUCGGACCUUGCGCGAUUGAAUGAGCCGAUGUCGGAUUAGCUAGUUGGCGGGGUAAAGGCCCACCAAGGCGACGAUCCGUAGCUGGUCUGAGAGGAUGAUCAGCCACGCUGGAGCUGAGACACGGUCCAGACUCCUACGGGAGGCAGCAGUGGGGAAUAUUGGACAAUGGGCGCAAGCCUGAUCCAGCCAUACCGCGUGGGUGAAGAAGGCCUUCGGGUUGUAAAGCCCUUUUGUUGGGAAAGAAAAGCAGCAGGUUAAUACCCCGCUGUUCUGACGGUACCCAAAGAAUAAGCACCGGCUAACUUCGU
rnacentral:rRNA from 1 species